rnacentral:lncRNA from 1 species
UUUUUUUUUUUAUUUUUUUUAAUUAUUUUUUUGCUUUUUAGGGCUGUGCCCGCGGCAUAUGGAAGUUCCCAGAUCAGGGGCUGAAUCAGAGCUGCAGGUGCCAGCCUAUACCACAGCCACAGCAACGUGGGAUCCAAGCCACACCUGCGACCUACACCAUAGCUCACGGCAACACUGGAUUCCCGAUCCACUGAGUGAGGCCAGGGAUCGAACCCACAACCUCAAGGACACUAGUUGGAUUUAUUUCUGCUCUUCUAUGAUGGGAACUCUAUUGUAUGUAGAUUUUACUCAGGUUUUCUUCCACCUUAUUUCCCAGGGCUCAACUAGGAAGUGCCCCCUCCAUCACAGUUGAAAAGCCAGCCCACGGGAGCAUUAUUGCCAGUGUUGAGUACAUCUCGUGUGGCUCCAAGGCUGUGGUCAUCCAGGGCUCUUCUGAAAAGAGCAGCAAACUGUGGAGGGCUGAGGCACCACCCAAGGGACUCUUGGGGAGAUGACCAGAGGGCAUCUCAAAAGCCCAGCUGCUUUCAUUUACCACAAUCUCAGGUUUCCUGACCCAGAAUCUCCCGUUUGGAUUAACCCUGGUCAGACCCUCCUGUUGAAAGCAGUCUCUCCCCUACUCAUGGAUGUGAACAGACCAAAGUCAGUGGAAGCACAUGCACAAGCCAUUGUUUAGAACGGCUCAUGCUUCCACAUCAGAGCAAUACACACAAGAGCAAGGGGAAUGUAUUGUGCUUCACGGCUUACGCCAAGUCCAAGUAAAAACAAGUCCCCAAAUGUCACAUGCCUUGGAGCACAAAGGGGAAAAAACCAUGCUGCCGUAAGCAAAUCUAAAAUCCCUUCUUCAGGACUCCAGCUCAAAAAGCCUUAGGCGGUCCAUCGGCAACAUUCUCCCAGGAGCAUCAUAAUGUUAACAUUCCAAAGAAUCUGAUUCUAGAGCCCCAGAAUCAGGGUCUAGGAUGCCAGAGAAAGGAAGGAGAGGGAUCCCCAUGAAUCCUGGGAUUUUGUAUCAGGGCAAAGGCUAAGAAGUAGGAAGUCAAGCGUGAAAUCCUGUCAACACUGUUGACUCUGAAAACCAUCCUAAGAAUGUCCCAUUUCACUAACUGGAAGGUCUCCCAAGUAAGCCAACACCCGAUGCCAUGUGGCAAUGUCAGGUAAUCAGCUCAUUUCUCUCUUCCUUUAUGUCAUUGGGAACCAGCUCCGCACAGCCUUCCUUAAAUGGAAGGUUUGACCAAUCUGCCAGCUAGUAUUUUAACAGCAUGGAUAAGAAAACCUUUUUUAAAAAAGUAGACGUCUUAUCCAGCUCCAGGAUGUCUCGAGAAGGGUAGAGGGAGGAUGUCACAGACAACAGAAAAGCUUCAGUCCAAAAGCUUUUCCCUGAAGCGUGAGUGUGGAAUGGGUCAAGCGCAAGGGUGUUUGAAAAAAUAAAAUAAUCUGGGGUUAAUAGAUGCAAACUAUUGCCUUUGGAGUGGAUAAGCAAUGAGAUCCUGCUAUAGAGUGCUGGGAACUAUAUCUAGUCACUUAGGAUGGGGCAGGGUGGAGGAUAACGUGAGAAAAAGAAUGUAUGUAUGUAUGUGUGAUGGGGUCUCUUUGUUGUACUGUAGAAAAUUGACAAAACACUGUAAACCAGCUAUAAUGGAAAAAAACAAAAAUCAUUUAAAAAGUAAAUAAAUGGAAUUAUAUUACAAAAAAGAAAAUAUUACUGGUUAUUUUUCCAAAAGAGCAUAUGGUUCUCAACAUAUCUGUCUUAUCCAUAGUUCAGUUUCUAUCAGUGACCAUCUAAAUAUGUAUUUUAACCAGAUGCCCACUAAUUUGCAGUGUUCCGCUGACGAUAACACUAGCAGCUAGUCCCGAGGGUUUUCUGUGUGCUGAGCACUGCGGAAAAACUUCUUGUUGAUUUAUGCAAUCCUCCAAAGACACUUUAGGGGUCAGCUUUGUUAUUGACAUCUCCAUUUUACAGAUGGGGACAUCAAGACUGAAAGAGUUAAAGAAUUUGUCUGAGGUCCUAUGAGUUAGUCAAGGGUCCCUAUAAAAUAUAAGAGCAGGCUCUCGAAGAGGGGGAAGCUGGGUGAGAAAAAUGCAGAACUGGAAAGGGUGCAUUCUAUCUUAGCAUCCGCUUCGAAGUCACAGCUGAUGGACCCCAUCUGGAAAGGUGGGGACCCCUUUUCCUAGUUCCACUUACAUUUCUCACACAAAUUGAAAAAUAGGUGAGUUAAAGUGCAUAUAUUAGGAGCUCCAGUUUGCAACCUCUGCUAGACUGGAACAGAGGAACCUCACCCCAGCACCCCCUCCACAUUCAGCUCUAACACUUGUCAAGAGCCUCUGCAGAGCUACAAGCCAGGGAUGUUUGUUCCCUGUCCAAUGGACAACCAUUCUGCGUGUACAUUUGAUAACAACAGCGUGAUAGAUUGUUUGUGGUUACCAGUAUGAACCAAGUCUCUUGCAAAGAACCUGACAUAUGCCGUAUCAUUUAAUAUUCACAACUACUCUGCCAUUUACAUCUAGCUCAUUACCCAUGUCUUCCAGAAGAAAACACGGGGUCAAAAAAUGUGAUCACAAACAAGUGCGAUAUCACUUACACGUGGAAUUUUUUAAAAUACAAAAAACCAGUGAGUAUAACAAAAAAGAAGCAGACUCACAGAGAGAACAAACUAGUGGUUACCAGUGGGGACAGGAACGGGAGAGGGGCAAUAGAGGGGAAAGGAUUAAUAGGUGCAAACUAUCAAACACCUGUGACUCAGAUAAUACCGUACGGCAACUACACCUCAAUUUAAAAACGUGUUCAUCACAAUCCUAAAGUCACAGAAUAAGACGCUAGAACUAAAGGACUCAAGCCUCUAUGACACCCUGAGCUAAGAUUUUGCUACCCAGAGGAGACCUUCCCCUGCAAAACUCAGAUUCUAGGCACACAAACCAGAAACCCACUGAGACAAUCUAUUCUUGCAAGAAAGUUACCAGUGCUUAUUUACAACAGCCAAGACAUGGAAACAACCUAAAUGUCCAUCCACAGGAGAGUAGAUAAAGAAGAUGUGGUAAUAUACACAAUGGAGUAUUACUCAGCCAUUAAAAAGAACGAAAUACCAGCAUUUUUUGCAACAUGGAUGGACCUAGAAACUAUCAUGCUAAGUGAAGUCAGCUGUACAAUGAGACACCAAAUCCAGUGCUUUCACUGACAUGUGGAAUCUGAAAAAAGGACAGACUGAACUUCUUUGCAGAACAGAUACUGACUCUCAGACAUUGAAAAACUUAUGGUCUCCGGAGGAGACAGUUUGGGGGAUGUGCCUGGGCUGUGGGAUGAAAAUCCUGUGAAAUCAGAUUGUUAUGAUCAUUAUACAACUACAGAUGUGAUAAAUUCAUUUGAGUAAUAAAAAAUUAAAAAAAAAAAAA